GACGAACGCUGGCGGCGUGCUUAACACAUGCAAGUCGAACGAAGUGGCGAACGGGUGAGUAACGCGUAAUCAACCUGCCCUUCAGAGGGGGACAACAGUUGGAAACGACUGCUAAUACCGCAUACUGAAGGAGGGGAUUGCGUCUGGUUAGGUAGUUGGAGGGGUAACGGCCCACCAAGGCGAUGAUCAGUAGCCGUUCUGGUGGGAUGGACGGCAACCUUGGGAAUGAGACAAGGCCCAGACUCCUACGGGAGGGAGCAGUGGGGGAUCUUCCGCAAUUGACGAAAGUCUGACGGAGCAAAGCCGCGUGAAUGAUGACGGCCUUCGGGUUGUAAAGCUCUGUUAAUCGGGACGCGGUACCGGAAUAGAAAGCAACGGCUAACUACGUGCCAGCAGCCGCGGUAAUUC
rnacentral:rRNA from 1 species